rnacentral:misc_RNA from 1 species
UCCGGUUUGUCACCGGCAGUCUCAUUAGAGUGCUCUUUCGUAGCAACUAAUGGCAAGGGUUGCGCUCGUUGCGGGACUUAACCCAACAUCUCACGACACGAGCUGACGACAGCCAUGCAGCACCUGUGUUCCGGCUCCCUUUCGGGCACCCCUGCAUCUCUGCAGGAUUCCGGACAUGUCAAGGGUAGGUAAGGUUAUUCGCGUUGCAUCGAAUUAAUCCACAUCAUCCACCGCUUGUGCGGGUCCCCGUCAAUUCCUUUGAGUUUUAAUCUUGCGACCGUACUCCCCAGGCGGACAACUUCACGCGUUAGCUGCGGUACUGAGAAAUCGCUUCCCCAACACCUAGUUGUCAUCGUUUAGGGCGUGGGCUAC